rnacentral:rRNA from 1 species
UACUUGUACCGACUGGAUGAGCAGCGAACGGGUGAGUAACGCGUGGGGAAUCUGCCUUUGAGCGGGGGACAACAUUUGGAAACGAAUGCUAAUACCGCAUAAAAACUUUAAACACAAGUUUUAAGUUUGAAAGAUGCAAUUGCAUCACUCAAAGAUGAUCCCGCGUUGUAUUAGCUAGUUGGUGAGGUAAAGGCUCACCAAGGCGAUGAUACAUAGCCGACCUGAGAGGGUGAUCGGCCACAUUGGGACUGAGACACGGCCCAAACUCCUACGGGAGGCAGCAGUAGGGAAUCUUCGGCAAUGGACGAAAGUCUGACCGAGCAACGCCGCGUGAGUGAAGAAGGUUUUCGGAUCGUAAAACUCUGUUGGUAGAGAAGAACGUUGGUGAGAGUGGAAAGCUCAUCAAGUGACGGUAACUACCCAGAAAGGGACGGCUAACUACGUGCCAGCAGCCGCGGUAAUACGUAGGUCCCGAGCGUUGUCCGGAUUUAUUGGGCGUAAAGCGAGCGCAGGUGGUUUAUUAAGUCUGGUGUAAAAGGCAGUGGCUCAACCAUUGUAUGCAUUGGAAACUGGUAGACUUGAGUGCAGGAGAGGAGAGUGGAAUUCCAUGUGGUAGCG